ACUGAAUGGAGGACCGAACCGACUUACGUUGAAAAGUGAGCGGAUGAACUGAGGGUAGCGGAGAAAUUCCAAUCGAACUUGGAGAUAGCUGGUUCUCUCCGAAAUAGCUUUAGGGCUAGCCUCAAGUGAUGAUUAUUGGAGGUAGAGCACUGUUUGGACGAGGGGCCCCUCUCGGGUUACCGAAUUCAGACAAACUCCGAAUGCCAAUUAAUUUAACUUGGGAGUCAGAACAUGGGUGAUAAGGUCCGUGUUCGAAAGGGAAACAGCCCAGACCACCAGCUAAGGUCCCAAAAUAUAUGUUAAGUGGAAAAGGAUGUGGCGUUGCCCAGACAACUAGGAUGUUGGCUUAGAAGCAGCCAUCAUUUAAAGAGUGCGUAAUAGCUCACUAGUCGAGUGACACUGCGCCGAAAAUGUACCGGGGCUAAACAUAUUACCGAAGCUGUGGAUUGUCCUUUGGACAAUGGUAGGAGAGCGUUCUAAGGGCGUCGAAGCAUGAUCGCAAGGACAUGUGGAGCGCUUAGAAGUGAGAAUGCCGGUGUGAGUAGCGAAAGA
rnacentral:rRNA from 1 species